AUUGAACGCUGGCGGAAUGCUUUACACAUGCAAGUCGAACGGCAGCACGGACUUCGGUCUGGUGGCGAGUGGCGAACGGGUGAGUAAUGUAUCGGAACGUGCCCAGUCGUGGGGGAUAACGUAGUGAAAAUUACGCUAAUACCGCAUACGAUCUAUGGAUGAAAGCGGGGGAUCGCAAGACCUCGCGCGAUUGGAGCGGCCGAUAUCAGAUUAGGUAGUUGGUGGGGUAAAGGCCCACCAAGCCAACGAUCUGUAGCUGGUCUGAGAGGACGACCAGCGAAACUGGAACUGAGACACGGGCCAGACUCCUACAGGAGGCAGCAGUGGGGAAUUUUGGACAAAGGGCGAAAGCCUGAUCCAGCCAUUCCGCGUGCAGGAUGAAGGCCCUCGGGUUGAAAACUGCUUUUGUACAGAACGAAAAGGUUUCUACUAAUACUAUGGGCUCAUGACGGUACUGUAAGAAUAAGCACCGGCUAACUACGUGCCAGCCGCCGCAGUAA
rnacentral:rRNA from 1 species